GAACUGCGAUAUAUAUAUACUAUGAAUUGCAGAAUUCAGUUAGCCGGUGAGUAUGCCUGUUUUAGCACCACAACGUAGUGGCGAUUUAACAUCGUCGAUGACGGGCCUUGCCUGAAACUCAAACCAGGCAGGACUACCCAUUGAACUAGA
rnacentral:misc_RNA from 1 species